GAAAUGCGAUAAGUAAUGUGAAUUGCAGAAUUCAGUGAAUCAUCGAAUCUUUGAACGCACAUUGCGCCCCCUGGUAUUCCGGGGGGCAUGCCUGUUCGAGCGUCAUUUCACCACUCAAGCCUCGCUGGGUAUUGGGCAACGCGGUCCGCCGCGUGCCUCAAAUCGACCGGCUGGGUCUUCUGUCCCCUAAGCGUUGUGGAAACUAUUCGCUAAAGGGUGUUCGGGAGGCUACGCCGUAAAACAACCCCAUUUCUAAGGUUGACCUCGGAUCAGGUAGGGAUACCCGCUGAACUUAAGC
rnacentral:misc_RNA from 1 species